GGACUUUGACUUUGUUUUAAAAGGUUUGA
rnacentral:piRNA from 1 species